rnacentral:rRNA from 1 species
GGGGAAUUUUGGACAAUGGGCGCAAGCCUGAUCCAGCAAUGCCGCGUGCAGGAGAAGGCCUUCGGGUUGUAAACUGCUUUUGUACGGAACGAAAAGGCUCCUUCUAAUACAGGGGGCUAAUGACGGUACCGUAAGAAUAAGCACCGGCUAACUACGUGCCAGCAGCCGCGGUAAUACGUAGGGUGCGAGCGUUAAUCGGAAUUACUGGGCGUAAAGCGUGCGCAGGCGGUCUUGUAAGACAGAUGUGAAAUCCCCGGGCUUAACCUGGGACCUGCAUUUGUGACUGCGAGGCUGGAGUGUGGCAGAGGGGGAUGGAAUUCCGCGUGUAGCAGUGAAAUGCGUAGAUAUGCGGAGGAACACCGAUGGCGAAGGUAAUCCCCUGGGCCUGCACUGACGCUCAUGCACGAAAGCGUGGGGAGCAAAC